rnacentral:rRNA from 1 species
AUGGCUUGCUUCCUCGUACGCUUCCACCUGUUGACCGCCUUGGUCUUCCAAGCAUUGGCGUUGGUGUUCUUGAUACGACUUCUUAUCGUGAUGUUAUUCAUACCAAAUGACACCUUGCGAUGGCAGAGGAGAUUGUUGCUCUUGAGCGCAUCAGCAUGUGGGAUAUUGUUUCUCUUCCUCCUCGUGUUCGUCCCAUCACUUGGUGGGAAUGUUAUGACUCACUUUGAGUUUUUAUACGUUCCUUUUGAUCAUGUUCCUGGACUUUACUACACUCGUGGUCCGCGUGUUGUGGAUUCUUCUGAUAAGCCAUCUCCCUCGACUAUUAUAUCUUCUUUCGUUUGGCAACGCACCGCCUCCAGCUUAUAG